AAAAGAUGCAAAAGCCGUAUUGGUAAAGAACUAGGGCCCCGUAUAUAUCGAAUGCUUAGAAGCUCUCUCCAUGAGCCAUUACGCUUUCAUUCCAGACUGGCUGCUUCCAAGCCUACCUCAGGAGGGUUUAUGCUUUUAAACUCUUGUUUCCACGAAGUUCUUUUUAAGGACCUUAACGUACUUUCAGGGCUGUUUCCCUUUUGGCUCUGGACCUUAGCACCCAGAGCCUCACUCUUGUGAUGAGCUUUACAAAAAUUAAGAGUUUUCACGGGAGUGUAGCAGCUUAGACCCAACCACACCCAGGAAUUUCCAUAAAUUCUGUAAUACUCAAUCUUCAAGAAUUGAAGAAAAUCACAAGGCUGCACCUAAAUGCAUUUCGACACAACAACCAGCUAUGCGCAAGUUUGAUUAGCCUUUCACUCCUAGACCCAAGUCUUCCCAGACUAUUGCCACAGUCACGGCUUCGGUCUUCCAAUGCAGAAUUUAUCCGCCCUUCAACCUGCUCAGGCCUAGGUCACUUGCCUUCGGGUGCUUUGAUCAUUACUUCUUGAAA
rnacentral:rRNA from 1 species